UCAAACUUGGUCAUUUAGAGGAAGUAAAAGUCGUAACAAGGUAACCGUAGGUGAACCUGCGGUUGGAUCAUUAAAAAUUUAUCUUAGUCUCUGGGGUUUACUUUUGUGUAGUUUAGUGUAAUUUACUCUGUAAUUUACCCAGUAUUACCCUAUAAUUUACCCCAUGAUGGCUAUUAACACCUGUGCACUUUAUGUAUCUUGGGUAUAUUAUAUUUUAUGCCCAAAAUCUUGAUAAACCCCUAUUGAUUAUAUGUCUGAAAAUUUAUAUUAAAUAUAAACAACUUUUGACAACGGAUCUCUAGGCUCUCGCAUCGAUGAAGAACGCAGC
rnacentral:misc_RNA from 1 species